UACAGAGGUCUCGAGCGUUGUUCGGAUUCAUUGGGCGUAAAGGGUGCGUAGGUGGCGCUGUAAGUCAGGUGUGAAAUUUCGGAGCUCAACUCCAGAACUGCCAUUGAAACUGCAAGACUUGAGUACGAGAGAGGUGAGUGGAAUUCCCAGUGUAGAGGUGAAAUUCGUAGAUAUUGGGAAGAACACCGGUGGCGAAGGCGGCUCACUGGCUCGUAACUGACGCUCAGGCGCGACAGCGUGGGGAUCAAACAGG
rnacentral:rRNA from 1 species